rnacentral:rRNA from 1 species
AACGAACGCUGGCGGCAUGCCUAACACAUGCAAGUCGAACGAGACCUUCGGGUCUAGUGGCGCAAGGGUGCGUAACGCGUGGGAACCUGCCCUUAGGUUCGGAAUAACUCCCCGAAAGGGGGGCUAAUACCGGAUAAUGUCUUCGGACCAAAGAUUUAUCGCCUUUGGAUGGGCCCGCGUUGGAUUAGCUAGUUGGUAGGGUAAAAGCCUACCAAGGCGACGAUCCAUAGCUGGUCUGAGAGGAUGAUCAGCCACACUGGGACUGAGACACGGCCCAGACUCCUACGGGAGGCAGCAGUGGGGAAUAUUGGACAAUGGGCGAAAGCCUGAUCCAGCAAUGCCGCGUGAGUGAUGAAGGCCUUAGGGUUGUAAAGCUCUUUUACCCGGGAUGAUAAUGACAGUACCGGGAGAAUAAGCUCCGGCUAACUCCGUG